GGAAGUUGAAAUUUGGAAAGCACAGUUUGUACUUUUGAAAUUCCUUAUUUUGUAGAAAGAUGAACAUUGUCGAUAAAACGUUUAAACAACAUCAUGAGAAAAAUAGAAAUAAAGUUCAAAACCAAAACAGUCCAAAAUUUACUAAACUCUCAAACCUAAAUUAAAUUUACGGAAAGAUUAUUAUAACUGAGCUCCCGUAGUAAUGACCCACCUAAGUCUGAGGAUUACCUAAAAGUGACAGACAACAGAAAGUGAGUUUUGUAACUCAGUGUGUAACAAAUCAUACAGAAGUCAGUUAGUUAUAAAUUUAUAUAUAUAUGUCAAAAACAUUGUUUUUCAAA
rnacentral:lncRNA from 1 species